rnacentral:rRNA from 1 species
UACGUAGGUGGCUAGCGUUGUCCGGAUUUACUGGGCGUAAAGAGCGCGCAGGCGGUCGUUUCAAGUCGAGUGUGAAAGCCCCCGGCUCAACUGGGGAGGGUCACUCGAUACUGAUCGACUCGAAGGCAGGAGAGGGAAGCGGAAUUCCCGGUGUAGUGGUGAAAUGCGUAGAUAUCGGGAGGAACACCAGUGGCGAAGGCGGCUUCUGGCCUGUUCUUGACGCUGAGGCGCGAAAGCUAGGGUAGCAAACGGG